AUGAAAGCAGUGGAAGUCUGUCGAUGGUCUAAGCAAGCACCAACAUGACCACAAGAUGUCCCAAGAACAUGAAUUCUAGUAUGUUUUGCUGGAAGUUCAGAAGCUCACAGAGAUAGCCCUAUGUGGUGAAAGCCUCUGAGCAUGAGAAGGGUGUGUAGGAAAAAGUUACAAAGUGCUGAUUGCCCAGCUGUCCUGCAACUUCCUUCGUGAGGAAAGAAUGUAACAGAAAUCUUCAGUGAAGUGAUGGAGUUCCUUCAAGUUUGUCACAAUGCCCUUGAAAACGCUAGAAUGGGAAAGUUUCAUGCAUUGAAAUAUGAAAAUCUACUUGAGCAACAUGAAAAACACAGACACACACAUGCUUUACCAGUGCUGUUGAUGGAACAUGAACUAGUGAAAUCCAUCCCAGACCUUUAACAUCACAGACACUGGAGGUUUUUGCGAGGCUGAAGAAUAAGAUGGGCACUUACAUGAACCUGUCAGACACUGGGAAGAGAAAUGUAUGUGUAAUCCACUGAGUAAUGAUCUAAUAACAGGGAUGCUGCUUGUUUUUCAACAUAAAAUUACUAAAUCUUAUCUUUCUAUUAUUGGUUUACUGUUCUUUUAAACUGUCAUAUAACACACAGACAUAUGUGUGCAUGAGUUACUACUGCAAAACUUUCUGUUGAUUCCCAACAGCUAGAAAGUGUUAGUACUGCCACCAACUUGUAGUUAGGGUCUGAAAUCUUGCUUAGGUGGGCAAAGAGCCUCUCUUGCAUGUAGGCUUUUUAAAAAUUGGAUUUGCAGAUCUUAGCUUUUGACUUUUUUCCAAAGGGAUGAGGGAGAAGCUGAUCCUUGUAACUUUGUACCGGUCUCAGGGAUCUAGGGGAUGUUACUGAAAACUGCUGUGUGCUACAUGUGUCCAAUCUCACAUUGUGUUUACUUUUUUCCCCUAGGAAGAAUUGUUAGAAACAGCCUGAGACCAGUGGCAGUCUAUGCAAGAUGGCUGCGUAAGAAACAAAAAACUCUUAAAAAGAUGGAAUAUUAACCCUGCAUGUACACAGGGUGCUUUUAACUGUAUUGGGGCAGUAUCUGGUAAUGUUUAUGUAGACAAAAAAUAAAGAUUUAUGUUUCUGUUCU